rnacentral:rRNA from 1 species
CAGCCGCCGCGGUAAAACGGAGGGUGCAAGCGUUAAUCGGAAUUACUGGGCGUAAAGCGCACGCAGGCGGUCUGUCAAGUCAGAUGUGAAAUCCCCGGGCUUAACCUGGGAACUGCAUUUGAAACUGGCAGGCUAGAGUCUUGUAGAGGGGGGUAGAAUUCCAGGUGUAGCGGUGAAAUGCGUAGAGAUCUGGAGGAAUACCGGUGGCGAAGGCGGCCCCCUGGACAAAGACUGACGCUCAGGUGCGAAAGCGUGGGGAGCAAACAGGAUUAGAUACCCGAGUAGUCCCUGUCUCUUAUAC